AUUAUUUUAAUAAGGGACUUUGGUACUUGACUUGUAGACAGAGGAGCUAUUUUUUAAACUAAGACUUAAAUUGAAUUCAGCCCCUGUACAUCCCAAUGUGCUUUUGGAAACUAUUACAAUAAAGCAUGAACACUUGACCUCUCUGGUUAUGUGGAAGAUGAACACAGCUCAGGAGACUUGCUUCCAGUUCUAAUUGAAACCAUCUAUAUUCCAGAUUCUACUUCUUACCGGUCUUUCGGGAACAGCACCCAAGUAGAAGCUCCGUGUUUGGUUGAGUGGGUGCGUGCCUGUGUGUGCCCGUGGAUGCCCACGACCUCGUGCCCACAGACACAGUGAAGGAUCGAGUGCAGAGUAUUGUACAGAGUUCUCGCUGCUAUACAGCAACCCGACUGCGUCCCAAACUCUCUGGAGGACACAGAAGACUUCUCCGUGUGGACUGAGGAAAGGGACCAGGGACGUAGACCCCUGCCGACCGGCACUGCCCACUGGUCUCCGCUCUGCGCCUUUUCGUCCUCAAAGGCUCGGUUCGCGGGAGUGUAAGCUCCCUGCGGGUAAGGAGGGGGCGAAUCUCCCCGGGCGGGAGGGUAGUGCUGGCCGUGCUGAGGCUGGGGCUCCAGCUGCCAGGCCGGGCUGUGCCGGCUGCCUCCCUGCUCCUGGGGCUUGGUCCUUGUCUCCCCCCAGACAUCCUCCAGGCGCCGGCUGCGGGGUCGGGGCUUCCUGACACGGUCUAGUAAUCUCCGGGUCACGUCGGUCAGGCUGCGACUUUCUUGCGGCGAGUCGGAGUACGGGCGCCGGCUGGGCCGAGGGGUGGCUGAGCAGAGCAGGUGAGGCCAGGGCGCGGUGGCCGCCCAGCGUCUGAUUCCGGGUCCCGGGUCUCGGCGGGGGCGCUGCUGAGACCCGCCCCGCCCUCCGAUCCCGGGGUCCUGGCCGCCUGUGACGCUCAGGCCACUUCACAAUGCUCCCGGCGCCACCUGGCCGCUGCAGCCCUCAGCCCUCGCCCACCCUGGGCUUCCUAGCACCCCGCGCAGCGAGAGGCGGGAAGGCGGCUGGAGCCUGGGAGAGGGCGUAUGGUAGAGGGGGCUGUAGAAAGUUCGGGGCACCCUAAAGAUGAGGGUGCGUAGUGAACCCCCACCUGUGUUGCAGGCAGGAAUUUGAACUCGCAUUUGUACAUCUUAAACUAGCAGAAUUUUAAAAGGAUAGAAUGUGGCCUGGAAGUGUGGGGUGGGGAGUCCUUUAGUCACAGGUCCCUACCACAGUGCACCUCUGCAGUGUAGGCAAAGUCGAGGCUCGUUAAUUUAUAUGCACCAUCCUUUUGCCCUUAUAACUUAGCAUGCUCAAGGAUAGUUUUUUAAACUUUUAGAGGACAGAAAACAAAACACAAUAGUUUGUUUCCUCCUAAUACAGCAAUUACUGCUUUUGUCAAAAUAGGAAUGUUAGGUGCAUAUUUCUGAAAUAGCAUUGGUGGACACCAUGGCAAAUCACUUUAUUGUUUUCCUUUUUCUCCAGUUUUAUGAGAUGACUUUUUCGGGUUGAGGCAUUCAGAGCUCAUGGGAAGAGCACUAGAUUUGGUCAUGUAGACUUGAGCUUGACUCUCCUCUGCCACUUUCCACUUGUGUGGUCUUGGCCAAGUUGAUAACUUUCCUGACCCUCAAGUUCUGGAACAGACGACUGGAAGAGGGGCCAUGACAAUACCACUGUAGGGCUGCCAUAAGGUAGAUGAAACUAUGCCUCAAGAGCCUAGCACCUUAAUACAGUCAAUUAAUAUCAUUUUGAUGUCCUUCUAGCCUUCAGCUACAAAUUGUAAGAUUUAAUACAGAAAAUACAUUUAAUACAUUGUAAGAUUUUUACAUAUGAACAUGUUCCAUUCCAAUAGUGUAUUCCUAAAUCCAGUUUGUCAUGAGUCCAACAAGGUUAGCCUAGGUACCCAACUAACACAGUCAGCUAUAUAGUACUGUAAGGUGGUAGGUUUAUAAUACAUUUCACACAAAUAAUACAUACAAAACAUACACAAAAAAAUAAAACAUUUUUAAUCUUACAGUACAGUACCAUGAAAAGUGCAGUAGUACAGUACAGCAUCUGGCACACAGGGGCCAGCAUCAAGUGAACAGGCAAGAAGAGUUAUUGACUAGAGGAGGGAGAGGAGGUGGGAGAUGAGAUGGGAGAGCUGAAGAAUCAUCAGCAACAGGAGACGGAGGGCAAGGUGCAAUUUCACUCUCGCCUGACAUUGGUGUUCUAAGUUUGGUUCCCUGCUGGAACCAGAUGCACAUUCUCAUCUUUGAAAGUUCAAAACUUAAAGGUUUGUAUGUAGGGGACUUACUAUAUAUGGGUUUAUGAAAGUUUCUACAGAUUCCUAGCUUAACAAAAGAAGAACAGAAUUAAUGUCAUCCUAAAACAGUUUAGGUAAAGGAUAGAGUGCUAGGGAGGGGUGAUGUCCAGGCUCCAUUGUAUUCGUCCUGGACUGUGGAUCCUGGCUCAGUCACUUCCUUUCUCUGGGAUGUAAUGAGGAAACAGUUCUGGAUAAUAUUCUCCAAAUAUGGUCAAUCCUUAAAGAAGAAAAUCAAGCAUUUACUCAUCCCAGUCCUCUUCACCCACAUCUUCUUGAAGCUUCAUAGUAACUCCAGCUAGGCAGGGCCAAUAGAACUGAUAACAUUUCCUUAGGACAAAUCUGAGACUUGGCCAUUUUAACUGAUUCCCCCAAAGGUCAGUGGGUCAGUGGUGGAAGUUUUGAUUUUUAGGUUCACUUGUCUGUCCAUGAUAUCAUGCUGCUUCUCAGGAAAUGCACUCUGAAUUGAGACAUGUAUUAUGGACAGAAAGUUUGUGUUCUGCCCAAUUCAUACGUUGAGGCUCUAAACUCUAGUAGGAUGGUAUUUGGAGAUGGGGCCUUUGGGAGGUGAUUAGGUUUAGAUGAGGUCAUGAAGGUGCGGCCUUCAUGAUGGGAUGAGAGGAAGGGACAAGAAAUUCCGCUCUUUGCCGCCUGAGAUCACAGACAGAAGGUGGCUGUCUUUAAGUCUGGAAGUGGACCCUCGUCAAGAACUAAAUGUGCUCGUAUCUUGACUGAGGACUUCCCAGACUCAAGAACUGUGAGAAAUAAAUGUCUGUGGUUUAAGCCAUCCAGUCUACGGUGUUUUGUUAGAGCAGCCUGAGCUGACAGAGAUGACAUGCUCUAAAAAUAUUCUGAUCAGAUGUAUAUUCAAGGGUCAUGACAGCUAUGUCCUUGAAGCCAUGUGGUAGCAACCUUGACCAGAGUAUCUGAGGCCUCCCCAGGAGCCCACUCUGCCCGGAUAGGAGCUCCCAUGCAGUCAUUAGCAUGUCUAUAGCCAAGGACAGGAGGUUGCUUCUAGCCUAGAUUUCUAUUGGCGCUACUCAUACCAUUGUUAGAGAAAUUAUUUGGUGAUUAUAAUUUUUGCUUGGAGGCAAAUUUUACAUAAAAUAAAUUUGAGAGAUUUAUUCCAUAAACUUGAAAUGGAAUCAUUUAAGUGAGGAGAUAUUUGGGCAUGAACUGAGUCGUGCUGAUACCUGAGUGUCAUCUCUCUCUGAAGAAGCUUUGUAAAACAUUUUGCACACUACAUGUGGUUCUGGCUGGCACCAGGCCACUUCCUGUUACAGAGAAGCGGUGUUGUGUGGUGAAAAUACAGCCACCCAAGACCCAGGAGACCUGCCACCAGCCAGCUUUGCCACCUGCUGAUCACCUGUAGUGGUGAUUUCACUCUCUGUCUGGAGAUUCUGGUGGUUUCUUCAUUGCUGUAGGAGAUGAUUUGUAAGAUCUCUUCAUUCCCAAAGGCAACUGGAAAGAGGAGUUCAAUCUAGUAAAUCCUGCAGGCUUCCUUUUGUAAAACAGAAAUGAGUUAAUCCCUGAAAAAUGCUUGGCAUGUAGUUGGCAGUGCAUGGCAUGUAGUUGCUGCCUUAUAAAAAUUAGUCAUUAGAAUGAUCAUUAUCAUUAUUCCAAGAGCACUAAAACCAUAGCAGUGUAGGGCUGAAUUUAAAGACAUA
rnacentral:lncRNA from 1 species